rnacentral:rRNA from 1 species
ACAUUCAGUUGGGCACUCUAAAUGAGACUGCCGGUGACAAACCGGAGGAAGGUGGGGAUGACGUCAAGUCCUCAUGGCCCUUAUAGGUGGGGCUACACACGUCAUACAAUGGAUGGUACAAAGGGUCGCCAACCCGCGAGGGGAGCACCCCAUAAAGCCAUUCGUAGUCCGGAUCGCAGUCUGCAACUCGACUGCGUGAAGUCGGAAUCGCUAGUAAUCGUGGAUCAGAAUGUCACGGUGAAUACGUUCCCGGGUCUU